rnacentral:rRNA from 1 species
GACGAACGCUGGCGGCGUGCCUAACACAUGCAAGUUGAGCGACGAACCAGGGCUUGCCCUGGGGCAAAGCAGCGAACGGGUGAGUAACACGUGGGUAACCUACCCCGAUAACCGGGACAACCCGAGGAAACUCGGGCUAAUACCGGAUGUGCUCACUGGACUUCGGUUCAGUGCGUAAAGGAAGCUUCGGCCUCCGUAUCGGGAGGGGCCCGCGGCCCAUUAGUUUGUUGGUGAGGUAACGGCUCACCAAGACCGCGACGGGUAGCUGGUCUGAGAGGACGAUCAGCCACACUGGGACUGAGACACGGCCCAGACUCCUACGGGAGGCAGCAGUGGGGAAUCUUGCGCAAAGCGCGAAAGCGUGACGCAGCAACGCCGCGUGGGGGAAGAAGGCCUUCGGGUUGUAAACCCCUUUCAGGAGGGACGAAGGUUCGGCGGUGAAUAGCCGUCCGGACUGACGGUACCUCCACAAGAAGCCCCGGCUAACUACGUG